rnacentral:rRNA from 1 species
AUUGAGCGCUGGCGGCAGGCCUAACACAUGCAAGUCGGACGGUAACAGGAAGCAGCUUGCUGCUUCGCUGACGAGUGGCGGACGGGUGAGUAAUGUCUGGGAAGCUGCCUGAUGGAGGGGGAUAACUACUGGAAACGGUAGCUAAUACCGCAUAAUGUCGCAAGACCAAAGAGGGGGACCUUCGGGCCUCUUGCCAUCGGAUGUGCCCAGAUGGGAUUAGCUUGUUGGUGGGGUAACGGCUCACCAAGGCGACGAUCCCUAGCUGGUCUGAGAGGAUGACCAGCCACACUGGAACUGAGACACGGUCCAGACUCCUACGGGAGGCAGCAGUGGGGAAUAUUGCACAAUGGGCGCAAGCCUGAUGCAGCCAUGCCGCGUGUAUGAAGAAGGCCUUCGGGUUGUAAAGUACUUUCAGCGGGGAGGAAGGGAGUAAAGUUAAUACCUUUGCUCAUUGACGUUACCCGCAGAAGAAGCACCGGCUAACUCCGUG